UUUUCGCAUGAGUUUUGAGGGACACCCAUUCAAAGCAUAGCACCCUUCGGCUUCAGAGAAGCUCCAGCCCUGUUGUCACCAAGCAGGUUCCCCCUAGGCAGAGCGCCAAGAAGCAGCCCAGGCGAUCCCAAGGCGCACAAGUGCUCUCACCAGGCUGCGCGCUGGCGGGUCGGUGCACAGGGACGGGGUCGCCGCCCACGCGCGCUUGGUUCAGGGAGCCCAGGCUGUCCCUACCCGCGGCUACAAAAGCUCGCCGAGUCUUCCUGUCCACCCAAUCGCCCCACAUGUCAGCGGUUGGUCGCCUCGCGGUGCAGUGCUGGGCACGCGAGCCCCUCCCGCAGUCAUUCUCAGCACAAGCACCAGCCUGGAGCCCCGCAGCGACAGAGCUGAGAGCCCCCAAGCCGCAGAGGUCGUGCGGAGCAGAUUUGAUUAAGUGAAACAAAGCCCCAGCUGCUGGAGCAGAGGUUCCACUUGGGUUCCACAGACACCCACAGCCCAAAUCCCUGGAGGCCUAAGGCAAUAGCUAAUUGAGACUAUGCAUCACUAUUAAGGCAUCUUCACUAAAGGGCGCUGUGGAAACGCUGCCUGAGAUGCAGACACCUGUCAGAAGGGGGCUAAAUUUCAAACAAGGAACGUGGUGUUGCAUCACAAUAAAAACAGAAGAAACACACGUGUUCUUGUGUGUAAACCCAGUCCAUGGAAGAGACCGUCUGCUUGUCCCUCCUGAUCUCUGGGCCCAGACAACCAGUAGUCACCAUUCCAAGUGAGGGGUGGCUGCAACUCUACAGCCCCGUUCGUCUCUCCUCACUGUCAAAGCUGCUGAGACCCCAGACUCGACACUUGAAAGAAACCCAUGUCUGUGAAGCACUUGUGGACCAUUCAAGAUUGUGGAAGAAUCACUCAAGAGAAGGAGAUAGCAAUAUUUGCAGAUAUGCAAACUGGCCCCUUGCAUGCACAUCCUGGAGCACGUCCUGGAGCCUUUAGAGGAGACGGCUGCUGCUGUUCCAGUCUCUCCUUAGGCAGACUUGAGUUUCUACCCACUCUUCCCAAGCAGCCGCCCCUCCGCACCCGAGCGAGCCAAAGACCUGGCGGGCUGAGUACUCACUGCGCGCUGGACACAUGCUGAGCCGGCACUGCAGGGACACAGGGCGAGCCGCUGGAUGCAGACCUGUGGCCGCGGCAGUUGGGCUUAUCUUGCCCAUGAAGUUGCCUCUGAAGAACCAAGUCCAACUGUGUAUGCUGAGAGAUGUCUGGCUACUUCCUGAUUGACAGUUCUGGCAAGGUGGCAUUGGGCCCUGGCUUUUCCUCUGGAGGCAUCAUCACUUAUAGGAAAAUGUCCCCUGAAGUCCAAGGAUCAAAGCUGCUGGAACACUGAGAAGCUGAACAAAGGAGAACUGUUUCUCAUCAAACCCAGACUUCCAGACUUCCAAUAGGGUAGAAUGAGCAAGUCAGCAAAUCAUCUUCCUUGGAAACAGUGAUAAAACUAGAUGACAUUGUCAACAACAGCCAUUUCAGAAAUCUAGAAAAUGACCAAAGGCAAACAACAAACUGAGAAGCAUUUUUUUUUCCAUGAAAAAUCGCUCUAUUUCUGCAAAAAUAGUGGGAGUCUAUGGCUUCUCAUCCAGGGCUGUUUCUCUCCCCACCCCAGCUCAGUCAGUACAAAGGUUCUGGCAGCAUGAGGCAGACUGAACAGACCUGAAGUUUGAUUGCUGGAAGAAACUGACUCCAGGUUUGGCAGAGGGUGAGAAACCUACUCCCAGCCAUGUUGUCUGGUGACACAGUGACCUUAGGGACAAGUGAAUAGGGAAGGCCAGUGAUUCAUUAACCUGAGGUUGCAGUCCUGGUUGGGGAAAGCAUCAGAAUGGCAGAUAAGCUAGAAAUUUAGUAGGGAUAUGCUGGAAAUGAGACAACCCCAAAGGGGCUUGACCCCAAAGUUGUCCACACACCCCAGCUGCCUUCUGAGCAGAUGUAGGGAGAGACCAGAGAAGGCCUAGGCUAUCCACACAUCUCUGGCUAACCCAGGCUGUAAACCUGUGGAGGAGACACAAGAGGUGGAUUGAUUGCUAAUGGGCAUAUGGGGGAUCUUACUGGUUGAUAGGAACAUUCUCAAAUUGGAUUGUGGUGAUGCUUGCACAACUCUAAGUUUAUCCCAAAUUGCUAAAUUUUACACUAAAAAGGGGUGAACUUUAGGGUAUAUAAAUUAUACAUCAAUAAAGUUGUCAUAAAGC
rnacentral:lncRNA from 1 species